rnacentral:rRNA from 1 species
AUUGAACGCUGGCGGCAGGCCUAACACAUGCAAGUCGAGCGGAGCGGCGGACGGGUGAGUAAUGCCUAGGAAUCUGCCUGGUAGUGGGGGAUAACGUCCGGAAACGGGCGCUAAUACCGCAUACUAUCAGAUGAGCCUAGGUCGGAUUAGCUAGUUGGUGGGGUAAAGGCCUACCAAGGCGACGAACCGUAACUGGUCUGAGAGGAUGACCAGCCAAACUGGGACGGAGACACGGCCCAGAAUCCUACGGGAGGCAGCAGGGGGGAAUCAUUCGCAAUGGAGGAAAGUCUGACGGCGCAACGCCGCGGGAGUGAUGACGGCCUGCGGGUUGUAAAGCUCUGUUAAUCGGGACGCGGUACCGGAAUAGAAAGCCACGGCUAACUACGUGCCAGCAGCCGCGGUAAUUC